GCAAACUUGGUCAUUUAGAGGAAGUAAAAGUCGUAACAAGGUUUCCGUAGGUGAACCUGCGGAAGGAUCAUUAUUGAGUAAUUUUGGGGAGGGGAAACCCUCCCUAUUCAUUUCUCAUCUCUCUUGUUAUUUUUUUUGUCUUAGUUGCUUUGGCAAGAUGGAAUUUAUUUCAGAUUGUCAAGGGAUACAAAUACCAGACACUUUUGUUUUUAACAAUUGGAUAUAUCUUUGUCAGAUUAGUUAUAUUUUUUAAUAAAAUAUAAAACUUUCAACAACGGAUCUCUUGGUUCUGGCAUCGAUGAAGAACGCAGC
rnacentral:misc_RNA from 1 species